AGAGUUUGAUCCUGGCUCAGAACGAACGCUGGCGGCGUGGAUAAGACAUGCAAGUCGAACGAGAUUUUUUCGUGUAGCAAUACAGGGAAAAGUCUAGUGGCGAACGGGUGCGUAACACGUGGGCAAUCUGCCUUAAAGUGGGGGAUAGCUCGGCGAAAGCCGAAUUAAUACCGCAUGUGAUCAGAGGGGACAUCCCUUCGAAAUCAAAGUCGGGGCAACCUGACGCUUUUUGAGGAGCCCGCGGCCUAUCAGCUAGUUGGUGAGGUAAUGGCUCACCAAGGCUCUGACGGGUAGCUGGUCUGAGAGGACGACCAGUCACACUGGAACUGAGACACGGUCCAGACACCUACGGGUGGCAGCAGUCGAGAAUUUUUCUCAAUGGGGGAAACCCUGAAGGAGCGACGCCGCGUGGAGGAUGAAGGUCUUCGGGUUGUAAACUCCUGUCAUUUGGGAACAAGUUGGACGCCGUAACUGCGCGUCCAUUGAUAGUACCAGAAGAGGAAGGGACGGCUAACUCUGUGCCAGCAGCCGCGGUAAUACAGAGGUCUCAAGCGUUGUUCGGAUUCAUUGGGCGUAAAGGGUGUGUAGGUGGCGCGCUAAGUCGGGUGUGAAAUUUCGGAGCUUAACUCCGAAACUGCAUUCGAUACUGGCGUGCUUGAGGACUGGAGAGGAGACUGGAAUUCAUGGUGUAGCAGUGAAAUGCGUAGAGAUCAUGAGGAAGACCAGUGGCGAAGGCGGGUCUCUGGACAGUUCCUGACACUGAGACACGAAGGCCAGGGGAGCAAACGGGAUUAGAUACCCUAGUAGUCC
rnacentral:rRNA from 1 species